AACUGAAGAAUGAAUUCUAAGGAACAACAGAGGUUAAGAAUAGGGAAGAUUGGGCCGGGGAUUUAGCUCAGUGGUUUCGUCGCCUGCUGCACAAGCGCAAGGACCUGAGUUCGAUCCCCAUUACAAAAAAAAAAAAAAAAUAGGGAAGAUUUAUUGAGAGGUAGCUGCUGAGAGACAGGAAGGGGCCUGAAAGUGGCUGCCACUGAGGCCAUUUCUCCAACAGUGUAUUAUAGAGUAAAAUUCUGAGGUGAGUACAACGUGGGUCACACUGUAAUCAGUCAGUAAGAUUACAAGUAUAGCCGAUUAGCUAAUAUUGAUCUGAAAGAGAAGCGGGUCUCAUAGCAGGGGUACAUGGAAAGAACAAAGGCAUUUUUGGGAAGGGAUGGCCCAGAUGCUCGGAUCACCCAGCUGGGCGACUGAUGUCUAUCUGGACUUUACUGGACCAGAUGACACCAAUUAUAGUGCAACUCCUAGUUGCUGUUGGGAGGCAUACAGGCCUGGUCACUGCAUCUUUAUCUUGUGCCUUGGCCUUCUUCAGAUGCACCUCCAGCCACAGUUCUGAUGUCUUUAUUUUUUCUGCUCUCUUCCUUGACAGCCCAGCCCCUCUCUGACUGUAUAUUCAUUUCCAUCUAACUUAGCUGCCUGCAGUAGGAGGCCACCUUAGGUCUUCUCCCAUCUCUUACACACCUGCUCAGUGGCUCUGGUCCAUUUGGUCAUCAGGCAGAUGUGUCCCGGGUCCUUUUACCUGCUGGGCCUGGUGCCCAAGCCUUGUGAUGGAGCCCCAGCCCGCCCAGGGGGUGAGGAAGGCUGUUGCAGGGUGGAGUCCCAGGAAAGCUCCCGGAGGUCUUGGUUUUCUUCUGCUUUCUCACUGUUGGGCCGUCAAGGGGCCUGGAGAGGAGGGGAGCGGUUUGGAACUUGAGAGGGGCUUGCUCCCCUAGAAGGCUGCCGCUCUGCUCCUUAACUUUCCUAGAGGUCACCCCUCCACUUCCCUCCUCUUCCUGCCCCUCCUCUCCAGGUGAGCCUUCAGGCGGCUCUCCUGAUUGAGCUUCUGUUUGCCAGCUACACAGAGUGCUCCGGGGGCACCGGGCAGGAGGAUUUGAGUAGGGAGAGUUAGACCCUGUCCCCUGGCCCUUGCUUCUGCUCCAGAAGUCAGAGGAGGGGAGCUCCCCAGAUCUGGCAUGGAGGAGUGGCCACUGGGAUCUGUCACUCUCAAGCGUGGAUGAGAAGUGCACCUUGGGGCUUAGGACCAGCCGAGUCAGGGAAAGUGGCACCGAACCACUUCUUGUUCCAGGGCCUCCCUGAGUCUGGGGACCAGGCCCUGGAGGGAAGGGCUGGUGGCUGGAGUUGGCAUCAUGGGAGUCCAACCCCACCCUGGGCACCUGGAAUGGGCAGUGGGGGAGACUGAGGCAUGGGGGAUAAGACAGUGGGGCUUAGGAGGACGGGGAACUCCUCAGGUUGGGCUGGGCUGGGAAUGCUAAAAGGUAGGGGUGGCAAGAGUGCUUGGACCCCCAGGACAGAGUGGACUGGAAAAGAGGGGGAGUACGGGCUCCACAACCUAAGAACAGAGGGGCGGUGGGCGGGCGAGCGAGCGAGCGGGCUGCUUCCUUCCCAACUCCUUAACUCCUUUCAAUGAAUACUUCCUUGGCCCAGCCCCCAGUUACCUGGCUGAGGGCCUCCCGGACCGGGGAGGCUGCUCCACAGUUCCGGGGUUGUGGGAGGAUGGGGAAAUUCCUCUCCCCGCCUUAGAAGGUCUUGCUCCUGCUAGAGAGAACUGAGGAGCCUGGGGAAGGCAGGUGCCAUGACUGAUGGACGCUGGAGAGCUGCAAUUAAUUUUAAACAAGGUUGCCUGGACUUGGAGAACAAGGGCAGGUCAUGGGUGAGGCUGGGCUGCCAAAGUCUCUGUUUGCCCAGGGAGGACCUGGUCCCUUGAGUACUCACAGCAGGGCCCCUGGGCUGAGUGCUCCUUGGAAAGAUAAAGAAGUGCAGGUGCCUGCCUCUGCUUGAGAUGCUUCGGUUGGCCUCGGAUGAGUGAGGGGUGGUGUCGAGGGGCACCAGAGCCAGCCCUUGGCCUCUGUGGUCCGUGCAGAGGACCAGCUGGUGUUCGGCAUGCCUGGGAUGAGGGGGAGGAAGAGGAAGGCUCCGCAGCUCUGAGUGGUGCGAAGUUCUGUCCUCCGCUGUCCCUCCUCUUUUUCCUCUACCUCCUCCCCUCCUCCUUCGCUCCUCCUCUUCUCCUCUACUUUAUUUUAGUUUUGGGUUCUUGAAGCGGGGUCUCAGUGUAGCCCUGCUGGCCUCCAGCCCCAUCCCUCUGCCUCCGUCUCCAAGUGCUUGAGUGAUUACGGGCCUGGGCCACCAUGCCGACCCUUCCCCACCUCUUCUGAUAGUUGACUUGAUUUUCCCUGGUUUGUUUUUCAUUUUUGUUUCUGUGUUUUUGUACUGACAAUUGAACUCGGCCCAGCACCUUUACACUAAGGUAUAUUCCCAGCUGUAAAAAAUUGUUUUUUAACUUUCAUCUUGAGACAGUCUCACUGGGCAGCUAAGUUACUGAAGAAGGCCGUGCUGGGAUUUACAGUCCUCUUGCCUCAGCCUCCUACAGCGCCGAGAUGACGGAUGUGCACCAUCACACCCGGCUGAGUUUCCCUUUCGUAGUCGCCUCUCAGCAGAGCUCACUGCAGUGGGAGCCGCUGUCAGGAAGCGAGACCCGGAGGCCGCUGCUGGGCCCAGCAGUGUGGGCUUUGCUGCCUGUGCGGACCUCUCUGCCGAGAAUGGAAGCCUGUGGGGAUGUGGGGCAACGGAAAGGCGGCCCAGGACGUGGCGGGGUCAUUGGCUGGGCAGUGCAGUUUGAAGCCCCUGUGAGACCCGGACCUGGGACUCCCCCACUGCUCUGAGAGAGUUGCAGUGGCCUGUGGGGAACCCUCUUCCCCCCUGAAUGCUGGGCUCGGGGAGAAGCUCUCAGGGGAGGUCUUCAGACCUAGGUCACCAAGGGUUUCAGGGACAGAUUGAACCCAGCCUGGCAGAGUGCAGCGUUUUCCUCCCUUCGCCUCUGUCCCUGCCCUGGGCUGGGGGUUGUGGCACAACAGCUCAGGAGCAGGAGGUGGGAGUCGGAAUCGGAAGUGUCACUCGCAGCAAAGGGGAACUGAGCCAGGCCGGGCAGAGGCCUCUGGAUAGCCAGGCCUGCGCAACAGGGGAUUUAGUCGGUUAGAUUUUGGCUUUCCCUACUCACAGGCGAGGGCAAUUGCAGAGAUAUUCCAGUGCAGAAAGUAGCUGGCAUCUGUUUGGUUCUGGG
rnacentral:lncRNA from 1 species